UUAUUAUUUCCUUGACUAUCAAUGCUACAUGGAUACCUGUGGUAAUUCUAGAGCUAAUACAUGCGUCCGAGUUUGACUUAGCGGAAGACUUGAGUUUGUUAGCUUUCAGAAUCAACCCAGGUUCUACCUGGUCUAUUGAUGACUCAUAACAAUUAUUCGAAUCGCAAGACGAAAGUCGGCGAUGUGUCAAAUAAAUUUGUGACCUAUCAGCUUUCGACGGUAUGAUAUAGGCUUACCGUGGCAAUGACGGGUAACGGAGAAUUAGGGUUCGAUUCCGGAGAGGGAGCCUGAGAAACCGCUACCACA
rnacentral:rRNA from 1 species